ACUAGCCACUUGUGUGGGACACUAAUACUAGGUUCUGGGUGCUCAUUUGAGAAAUGAGUCUAUUGAAUUGACUCGAUGAAAGAGAACAUCUUAUGGAAGCCUUACUUGCAUGUCAAAAAUGGUUCUCUAAGUGGGAGUUAUGCAAGUGAUCUUUAGACCUGAGAUCACCAUGAAAUCUUAUGCAUAUGAAUUCAUAUUUUGGUUUAUACUCAAGCAUGGCUUUAAGAC
rnacentral:lncRNA from 1 species